rnacentral:rRNA from 1 species
GACGAACGCUGGCGGCGUGCUUAACACAUGCAAGUCGAGCGGUAAGGCCCUUUCGGGGUACACGAGCGGCGAACGGGUGAGUAACACGUGGGUGACCUGCCCUCAGCUCUGGGAUAAGCCUGGGAAACCGGGUACUAAUACUGGAUAUGACUCCAUGACGCAUGUUGUGGGGUGGAAAGCCUUGUGCGGCUGAGGAUGGGGCCCGCGGCCUAUCAGCUUGUUGGUGGGGUGAGGGCCCUACCAAGGCGACGACGGGUAGCCGGCCUGAGAGGGCGACCGGCCACACUGGGACUGAGACACGGCCCAGACUCCUACGGGAGGCAGCAGUGGGGAAUCUUGCGCAAUGGGCGAAAGCCUGACGCAGCGACGCCGCGUGAGGGAU